GAUGGCGACCGGCGCACGGGUGAGUAACACGUAUCCAACCUGCCGAUAACUCGGGGAUAGCCUUUCGAAAGAAAGAUUAAUACCCGAUGGUAUAAUAAAACCGCAUGGUUUAAUUAUUAAAGAAUUUCGGUUAUCGAUGGGGAUGCGUUCCAUUAGGCAGUUGGUGAGGUAACGGCUCACCAAACCUUCGAUGGAUAGGGGUUCUGAGAGGAAGGUCCCCCACAUUGGAACUGAGACACGGUCCAA
rnacentral:rRNA from 1 species